GACGAACGUUGGCGGCGUGCUUAACACAUGCAAGUCGAACGGAAAGGCCCUGCUUUUGUGGGGUGCUCGAGUGGCGAACGGGUGAGUAACACGUGAGUAACCUGCCCUUGACUUUGGGAUAACUUCAGGAAACUGGGGCUAAUACCGGAUAGGAGCUCCUGCUGCAUGGUGGGGGUUGGAAAGUUUCGGCGGUUGGGGAUGGACUCGCGGCUUAUCAGCUUGUUGGUGGGGUAGUGGCUUACCAAGGCUUUGACGGGUAGCCGGCCUGAGAGGGUGACCGGCCACAUUGGGACUGAGAUACGGCCCAGACUCCUACGGGAGGCAGCAGUGGGGAAUAUUGCACAAUGGGCGGAAGCCUGAUGCAGCAACGCCGCGUGCGGGAUGACGGCCUUCGGGUUGUAAACCGCUUUCGCCUGUGACGAAGCGUGAGUGACGGUAAUGGGUAAAGAAGCACCGGCUAACUACGUGCCAGCAGCCGCGGUGAUACGUAGGGUGCGAGCGUUGUCCGGAUUUAUUGGGCGUAAAGGGCUCGUAGGUGGUUGAUCGCGUCGGAAGUGUAAUCUUGGGGCUUAACCCUGAGCGUGCUUUCGAUACGGGUUGACUUGAGGAAGGUAGGGGAGAAUGGAAUUCCUGGUGGAGCGGUGGAAUGCGCAGAUAUCAGGAGGAACACCAGUGGCGAAGGCGGUUCUCUGGGCCUUUCCUGACGCUGAGGAGCGAAAGCGUGGGGAGCGAACAGGCUUAGAUACCCUGGUAGUCCACGCUGUAAACGGUGGGUACUAGGUGUGGGGUCCAUUCCACGGGUUCCGUGCCGUAGCUAACGCUUUAAGUACCCCGCCUGGGGAGUACGGCCGCAAGGCUAAAACUCAAAGGAAUUGACGGGGCCCCGCACAAGCGGCGGAGCAUGCGGAUUAAUUCGAUGCAACGCGUAGAACCUUACCUGGGUUUGACAUGGAUCGGGAGUGCUCAGAGAUGGGUGUGCCUCUUUUGGGGUCGGUUCACAGGUGGUGCAUGGCUGUCGUCAGCUCGUGUCGUGAGAUGUUGGGUUAAGUCCCGCAACGAGCGCAACCCUUGUUCACUGUUGCCAGCACGUUAUGGUGGGGACUCAGUGGAGACCGCCGGGGUCAACUCGGAGGAAGGUGGGGAUGACGUCAAGUCAUCAUGCCCCUUAUGUCCAGGGCUUCACGCAUGCUACAAUGGCUGGUACAGAGAGUGGCGAGCCUGUGAGGGUGAGCGAAUCUCGGAAAGCCGGUCUCAGUUCGGAUUGGGGUCUGCAACUCGACCUCAUGAAGUCGGAGUCGCUAGUAAUCGCAGAUCAGCAACGCUGCGGUGAAUACGUUCCCGG
rnacentral:rRNA from 1 species